GGUGGCGUGGCCGAGUGGUCUAAGGCGCUGGAUUUAAGUCCCAGUGGCGUAAUGCCGCGCGAGUUCGAACCUCGCCGCCACCA